rnacentral:rRNA from 1 species
CCUACGGGAGGCAGCAGUAGGGAAUCUUCCACAAUGGGCGAAAGCCUGAUGGAGCAACGCCGCGUGGGUGAAGAAGGUCUUCGGAUCGUAAAACCCUGUUGUUAGGGAAGAAAAUGCGUGUAAGUAACUGUUCACGUUUCGACGGUAUCUAACCAGACAGCCACGGCUAACUACGUGCCAGCAGCCGCGGUAAUACGUAGGUGGCAAGCGUUAUCCGGAUUUAUUGGGCGUAAGGGGAACGCAGGCGGUUUUUUAAGUCUGAUGUGAAAGCCCUCGGCUUAACCGGAGUGGGGCAUUGGAAACUGGGAGACUGGAGUGCAGAAGAGGAGAGUGGAACUCCAUGUGUAGCGGUGAAAUGCGGAGAUAUAUGGAAGAACACCAGUGGCGAAAGCGACUUUCUGGGCUGUAACUGACGCUGAGGUGCGAAAGCGUGGGUAGCAAACAGGAUUAGAUACCCCGGUAGUC